UCUAUAUACAUACAUAUAUAUUCACAGACAUGUAUAUAUAUAUAUAUAUAUAUAUAUAUAUAUAUAUAUAUAUAUAUAGACAUGUAUGUAUGUAUGAAGGGGUGAACCAGCAGAAUCUUUAGUGUGCGAGGUAUAAUGCUGAGUGACAUUUUAUCCGUGUUCAUGUUCUGUGUUCAAAUUCUGCCGAGAUUCACUUUGCCUUUCAUUCUUCUAGGGUCGAUAAGGUAAGUACCAUAAGCACACUGGGGUCGAUGUAAUGGACUUACUAUAUCAUAUACUCCGAAUUAGCUGCGUUUGGACACACACACACAUACAUGCAUAUAUAUAUAUAUAUAUAUAUAUAUAUAUAUAUAUAUAUAUAUAUAUAUAUAUAUAUCUAUGUAUGUAUAUGUACCUCUCUCUCUCUCUUCUCUCUCUCUCUCUCUCUCUCUCUCUCUCUCUCUCUCUCUCUAUAUAUAUAUAUAUAUAUAUAUAUAAUAAACCUGUAUUUUUGCAUACAUACUAAAGUACGUAUGUACUUAUAUAUAUAUAUAUAUAUAUAUAUAUAUAUAUAGUUCAGUAUAAAUUCAGAUUCAGUUGAAUAUGAUACUUAAGUUAAAGGCACCAGAAUUUAGUAUCGUAUUAUCCAUAAUAUAUAUAUAUAUAUAUAUAUGUGUGUGUCUAUGUACGUAUAUAAAUGUGUGAAAAUAUGUACGUGUCCUUGUGUCUAAAUGUUAUUCUACCUCUACCAACGUCUUCUCAAUUACAUUAACGGUAUGUCAGAAUAUUCCGAUCCAGGUAACCACGAAGCAUAUCGUUGACUUUGUCAUUGAUACACCAUUAACUACCAAUAAUUAAAUACGCUAUAUUUUCUCUAUUUUUAUGCACUUCAUACUCUUGCAGAGCAUGGCUUUGCAUUGAUAUAUUGCUUUACAUAAGCUUAAUGUCUGUUUUCAUCUAAGAGCUGAGGGUACAAUGAUUCUUCAUGAACGAUAAAUUUACAUUUUCUCGGUAAAUUUAAUAUCUAUAUUUAUAUUAAACUCUCUGGAUGACCUUUUAAUCAUUAAUCUGAAAGUAAUACCAAUUUUUGUUCGACAUUAUUUUACAAUUAUUUAUUUAGAAUAUCUGAGCUAAUAUUUACUUCCUUGUAUGUUUACAUCCUUCAUAUACAUCUGAAUUUCCGGUUUUCUAUCCUGCUCAUUUUGGAAAAACCAAUCAGCGUAUGCAUUAAGGAAAUUAUUGAUAAUUUGAUUUGAUUUUGAGAGGUUAGAAAGUGUAAUGGAAUGAAAAAGAGUCCCGUCAUAUUUAAUAGGUCAUUAGGUCACUAGUGACAGCUCUGACAUCACUAAUAAAAAUCGCGAGCUGCUCCUUUUCGUUAAGAUCAUUUCAGGCCAGGUUAUUGAACGCAGCAUAGAAUAUCAGCUAAUUAGAAAAAUUAAAGUAAUGCGCUUCGAUCAGGAAUUGAACUUAUAGAUUAGAUUCAUCGGGGCCUUACAGCAACUCCAGUAAGAAGAAUAUUUUACACAAAGUUAGAUUAGGGUAUUAUAAGCCAGUAUAAUUAAUAUCUUUAACACCGGACUCCUCGAUGGAAUAUAUUCAUAAAGAUAGUUUUGGAAUAAAAGAAAUAUUUUAGAAUAACCUCGUUGCAAUUUUCCUUGCUCUCUAUCCAAAUUUGAAGUUAACUCUUAAUUAAACUGCCUUCCGUAAUGUUACAUAUAAAAUAAAUAAUAAAUGCGCCCUUUUAAAACCUAGGCAGGUUCAUGGGCUCGGUUUUCCCGUUUCUGUGGCGUAUGUGUUCCCCAGCUGGACGGGACGCCAGUCCAUCUCAGCGUUACUCAUUUUUGCCAGCUGAUUGGACUGGAGCAACGUGAAAUGAAGUGUUUUGCUCAAGAACACAAGUCGUCGCCCGGUCCAGGAAUCGAAACCACAAUCUUACGAUCAUGGUGCUGACACCCUAACCACUAAGCCAUACGCCUCCACUAAUAUUACAUAUAAAGUAUCUAAAAUAAAAUGUGAAUUCAAUAUUUCGAAUGCAAUAUAUACAAAGAGAAACUGUAAAAUGUCUGAGACAGUUACACCUUUAAUUUUCUAAUUCGUUAAAAUCUUUUCGAAAUGAAAUGGACCACAAUGUAUUCAUUGAUGAAUAAAUCCAAUACACACACGAAAGUAAAAUUUUCGAUCGAAUUUCAUUGUGCUAUAACAGAAUAACUAACAAAUAGAUCACUUUUCCACUAUUUUUAUUCAAACAGAUCAUUUUCCAUUGUUUUGUUUUAAAAUUAGUAUAUAACCAUGAGAUAAAUAAAUUUUUCUACUUAUAUUUUAGUUAUAAUUCUUCAAAGAGAUCGUUACUGAAUGAGGAUGAGUAUGUAAUGAUUUUCAAUCAUCUUAAGAUCAGCACACUAAUAGAAGAUUAAAAUUAUCCCAACAAACUUCCGUCUGUUAAAAGUACUUAUUGCAGUACUCAAUAUUUAUAUAAUUGCAUGCUUCAUAUAUUUCUAGUCAGUAUUUUCAAAAUAAUCUAAUUUCCGAAAUAGUUUUUAAAAUAUUAAAUAUACAUAUAGAUUGCUACACAUGUUCCAAGCAAUUUUUAAAGAACAAAAAUAUUAAAUACUGAACACUGAACUGUUUUAGUGCUGCCACCUACAACACAUUUUAAACAUUGCGUGGAAAUAGUCUUUUUUUUUUAAAUACAAGAAUUCGUUCAACAUUUUUUUGAAAUUGAUUAAAUAAGCUUGAGGCCAGUUGCUUUGAACUAUUUAAAAUUUAUUACAAUUUCACGUUGUUAAAAAUAAACUAUUAAAUUUAUAAAGGUAACGGUAAAAUUUGAAAACAAAUUAACAUUUGGCUUCGUAUCAUAUUUCCUGAAAGAAAUACGCUUCCCCCAGCAUUUUCAAAACUAAUACUACUCGAUACUGAAAACUAAUUUCCAAUAGUGGUUUAGAACAUGUUGAAUUAAAUGGUUUCAGUAAAGUGUAAAUGCUACAGAAACAAAUAUCAUACUUUGGAAAAUGUGAGGUAUCAACACAAAAGUAUUACUUAACAGAAACUGACUAACAUUACUACACCAUUAAUGACAGAAAUAAGAGCAGCAAGCGAAAAUUUAUAUUCGCUAUAGGUGUCUUCUCUCCUCAUACAAACAGACAUGUAUCAUAUAUCAUAUGUAUAUAUAUGUAUGUGUGUAUAUAUAUAUAUAUAUAUAUAUAUAUAUAUAUAUAUAUAUAUGUAUAUAUACAUAUAUAUGUAUAUAUACAUAUACAUAUGUACUUGUAUUUAUAUAUUAUAUUCGCCAUAGGUGUCUUCUCUCCCCAUACAAACAGACAUAUAUCAUAUAUCAUAUAUAUAUAUAUAUAUAUAUAUAUAUACAUAUAUAUAUGUACUUGUAUUUAUAUAUACAUAUACAUACAUAUAUGUCUAUAUACACACAAAUGUAUAUACUUAGAUAUCCGCAUACUUAUACAAAUAUAAGCAUAUGUAAACAUGUGUAUACAUAUAUAUGUGUAUCUGUGUAUAUAUGCAUAUAUGUAUUUAUCGCUAGAUGUAUGUGCAAGCAUGCUCAUCAGCACGUAUACUCAGCCAUAAGUUAAAAGCUAACACACGAGAAGACAUUAGUAAUACAGAGAAGACAUUUCAGCCUUAAUUUCAUAGAAAAAUACGGCAAAAGUCUUUUGGUGUAUUAGCUUAGAACUUUUUCCUAUUUCGUAGUAACCAACCAAUUAAUGGUCCCAUUCCUACUAGAAUCAAUAGUCUUUUUAUCACAUUCUUUUUGAAUGCGUAAAUCUCAUAUACAAUCAUAGACACAUACACAUACACAUACACAUCAGUCAUAACAUUUCCCUUAUAAUUGAAUGCCGCAGACAUUCAGUGAAGAAAUUACGUAAAGCCUGAUAUAAAGCCACAUAUUACUGCUUUAAAAUAGACUCUAACUUCAAAGGACUCUUAUCAAAUAGAUGAGCCUUCCUUGGCGAAACAUUACAGUUGCAGCUAACUUUUAUAAAACCGUUAUAACUGUUAAUUAUGGGCAAACGAAAGAAAAAGGCACUCAACACAGCUAGCAGGAGUUAGUUGUAUUAUUAUUUGAAAUAGAUACUCUUUUUACUCUUUUACUUGUUUCAGUCAUUUGGCUGCGGCCAUGCUGGAGCACCGCCUUUAGUCGAUCAAAUCGACCCCGGGACUUAAUCUUUGUAAGCCCAGUACUUAUUCUAUCGGUCACUUUUGACGAACCGCUAAGUGACGGGGACGUCAACACACCAGCAUUGGUUGUCAAGCAAUGCUAGGGGGACAAACACAGACACACAAACACACACACACACACACAUAUAUAUAUACAUAUAUACGACAGGCUUCUUUCAGUUUCCGUCUACCAAAUCCACUCACAAGGCAUUGGUCGGCCCGGGGCUAUAGCAGAAGACACUUGCCUAAGAUGCCACGCAGUGGGACUGAACCCGCAACCAUGUGGUUGGUUAGCAAGCUACUUACCACAUAGCCACUCCUGCGCCUAUGUAUUAUUAUUCAAAACAGUUUGAUUCAACUUCAGGGGACUUAAAGUUUCCUGAGUUUCUAACAAAAACCUGUCACUUUAAGGCUUAGAUUACCGAAUUCGGUCCUCUAAGCUUGAGAGAAACGGGUUUAUUCCAGAAGCCCGUGAAACUGCAAGUCGCAUGAAGUGAACUGAAUGUGUUUUAAAUAAUAUCACUGUACUGCAUCACAAAAUAAUAAUAAUAAUAAUAAUAAUAAUAAUAAUAAUAAUAAUAAUAAUAAUAAUAAUGAUAAUAAUAAUAAUAAUAAUAAUGAUAAUAAUAAUAAUAAUAAUGAUAAUAAUAAUAAUAAUAAUAAUAAUAAUAAUAAUAAUGAUAAUAAUAAUAAUAAUAAUAAUAAUAAUAAUAAUAAUAAUAAUAAUAAUAAUAAUAAUAAUAAUAAUAAUAAUAGUGAUAAUAAUAAUAUUAAUAAUAAUAAUAACAAUAACAACAACAAUAAUAAUAAUAAUAAUAAUAAUAAUAAUAAUAAAUGCCCUGAUGCAGUACCAGGCAGUGGCUCUCAUGGCUUUUGAUCUUAACUGAUUGGAAGUGUUAUCAUGUACAUUGUUUUGUCUUGGUAUAAAAGAUGGGCUACAGCAAAUAUUCUGCUCAAUACCACAGAUUUGCUUGUCAGUUGUUUGACCUUAACCAGUUGAGCAUGUCCCUUAGUGGCUGACGAUGUGCAUCUCUGAUCACGAGCAGAAGUAGUGGGGGAGCAUCAUAGCCAUGUGUUGGGAGGGAUUCUUUGGGGUUUGAAUAAUUCACCUCUGGAAACAUGGGUGGUUCUUUCAACAUCCUUAAACAAUCCUUAUUCAGGGACCUUUUGAGCGGGAUGGGCUACUCAACCUGAAGAAAAUUCUAACUGGGCCCCACCUGCAAGGUCAUGUGCUGUUUAUCUUGAUAUGAGAUCACUAUGUCGCGCACAUAUGGUUGUCAUGCAUGUGCCUGGUGUACCUUUAUCAGACGGGUAGUCAUGAUGGGUAUAUUGGGCUUCGUAUAUUUUACCCCAGUGACACUUUGAUGGCAUGCACUGCUCUCUCACUCAAUAAUAAUAAUAAUAAUAAUAAUAAUAAUAAUAAUAAUAAUAAUAGUAGUGGUUUCAAAUUUUGACAAGAGGCCAGAAAUUCCGAAGGGGGCAAGUCGAUUACAUCGAACCUCAGUAUUCAAGUGGUACUUAUUUUAUCAACUCCUUAACGACGAAAAGUAAAUUCUAACUUGGCGAAAUUUGAAGUUAAAACGUAAGCAUGGAUGAAAUGUUGUUAAGCAUAUUGCCAGGCGUGCCAAAGACUCCCAGCUCACAGCCUUAAUAAUAAUAAUAAUAAUAAUAACAAUAAUAAUAAUAAUAAUAAUGUGGAAGCUGAAGACUAAAACAAUACCUGUUGUCAUAGGUGCCCUGGGAAUGAUAGCGAAAGGAACUGAUUGCUACCUAACUCAGAUACCAGGAAAUCCCAAAAUGGCAGAAAUUCAAAAGAUAGUGCUCAUGGGAACUGCUCAUAUCCUACGCAAAAUACUCUCUAUGUAAUCCCAAGGUUUAAAACAAACUUUUUUUUUUAUUUUAAUUUAUUUUAAUUUAAAAAAAUUUUUUUUAUUUUUAUAUAUUAGACAUUCACUAGUACAACACAAAAAAAAAACAACAAAAAAACCCCAAAUAUAUGGCACAGAACUUCUAACCUGUUGUCUCUUGAGGUCUUUGGGUGAGACUUGGAGCCAACUUGUACAGACAUAAAGCAAAAGUCAAACAUAGAAUAAUAAUAAUAAUAAUAAUAAUAAUAAUAAUAAUAAUAAUAAUAAUAAUAAUAAUAAUAAUAAUAAUGAUAAUAAUACAGUAACCAUAAGAGCAUCAAACCACAGCACAGCACAUACCCAAGGCACACAGAGCUGCGCUCGGUAUAGAAGUGAACGCACGUUAUAAAAAUAAAACUACUGAAUGAUAAUAAUAAAAGACCUGGAAAGAAAUGUAACUCAAAUGUGGAAUCUAAAAAGAGAAACAAUUCCUAUCAUAGUAGGCGCAUAAGGUAAGAUAAAAAAUAUUCAGACAAAUACAUAACAAAAACACCAGGACUUACAAAUAUAUAUAACAUACAGAAAAUUGCACUACUAGGCACUGCACACGUCCUAUGCGAAACACUUUCAAUACAGUAACCAUCAGAGCAUGACAAAAAAAUCACAGCACGUACCCAAGGCACACAGAGCUGCGCUCGGUAGUGAAGUGAAAGCACGUUAUAAGAAUAAAACUACUGAAUGAUAAUAAUAAUAAUAAUAAUAAUAAUAAUAAUAAUAAUAAUAAUAAUAAUAAUAAUAAUAAUGAUAAUAAUAAUAAUAAAAAUAAUAAUAAUAAUAAUAAUAAUAAUCCUUUCUACUAAAAACGCAAGGCCUGAAAUUUGGGGUGAGGGAACUAGUAGAUUAUAUCGACCUCACUGUUUCACCGGUAUUUAAUUUAUCAGCCCUUAAGGAUGGAAGGUAAAUUCGACCACGGUGAAAUUUGAACUCAGAGCGUAAAGAUGGAUGAAAUGCCGUUAAAUAUAUUGCCAUGCGUGCAAGCGACUGUGCCAGCUCGCCGUUUUAAUAAUUUAAAUAAUUCCUUCUACUAAAGGCACAAGGCUUGAAUUUUUUUGGGGGUGGGGGCGGAUCCAAUUGAUUACAUCGACCCUAGUGUUUCACUGGUACUUAAUUUAUGAACUCCGAUAGGAUGAAAGGAAAAGUCGACCUCGGCUGAAAGAGAUUGACGGACAGAGGGAAAGAGAGAGUGAGCCGAUAUUGACAAUUAUAUAUUUGUACCAGUUACGCACUGGGGUCGAUGUAAUCGACUUAAUCCGUUUGUCUGUCCUUGUUUGCCUCUUCUGUGUGUAGCCCCUUGUGGGUAGUAAAGAAAUAGGUAUUUCGUCUGCCGCUAAGUUCUGAGUUCAAAUUCUGUCGAGGUUGACUUUGCCUUUCAUCCUUUUGGGGUCGAUAAAUUAAGUACCAGUUGCGUACUGGAGUUGAUCUAAUCGAAUGGCCUUCUUCCCCA
rnacentral:lncRNA from 1 species